rnacentral:rRNA from 1 species
UACGGGGGGGGCAAGCGUUGUUCGGAAUUACUGGGCGUAAAGGGCUCGUAGGCGGCCAACUAAGUCAGACGUGAAAUCCCUCGGCUUAACCGGGGAACUGCGUCUGAUACUGGAUGGCUUGAGUUUGGGAGAGGGAUGCGGAAUUCCAGGUGUAGCGGUGAAAUGCGUAGAGAUGUGGAGGAACACCAGUGGCGAAGGCGACUCUUUGGCCUGUAACUGACACUGAGGCGCGAAAGCGUGGGGAGCAAACAGG